GGGUUUAUAGCUCAGUUGGUCAGAGCGCCUGCCUUACAAGCAGGAUGUCGGGGGUUCAAAUCCCUCUGAACCCA
rnacentral:tRNA from 1 species